rnacentral:rRNA from 1 species
GAUGAACGCUGGCGGAGUGCCUAACACAUGCAAGUCGAGCGGCAGCGCGAGUAGUUUACUACUUGGCGGCGAGCGGCGGACGGCUGAGUAACGCGUGGGAACAUGCCCCAAAGUGAGGAAUAACUGCCCGAAAGGGUAGCUAAUGCCGCAUACGAUCUUCGGAUUAAAGGAUUUAUCCGCUUUGGGAGUGGCCUGCGUACGAUUAGAUAGUUGGUGAGGUAAUGGCUCACCAAGUCUACGAUCGUUAACUGGUUUGAGAGGAUGAUCAGUCAGACUGGAACUGAGACACGGUCCAGACUCCUACGGGAGCAGCAGUGAGGAAUCUUCCACAAUGGACGAAAGUCUGAUGGAGCAACUCCGCGUGCAGGAUGAAGGCCUUCGGGUCGUAAACUGCUUUAUGAGUGAAGAAUAUGACGGUAACUCAUGAAUAAGGGUCGGCUAACUACGUGCCAGCAGCCGCGGUAA